rnacentral:rRNA from 1 species
CACGUAGGGUGCGAGCGUUGUCCGGAAUUAUUGGGCGUAAAGAGCUCGUAGGCGGUGUGUCGCGUCGGCCGUGAAAACCUGUAGCUUAACUGUGGGCUUGCGGUCGAUACGGGCAUCACUGGAGUUCGGCAGGGGAGACUGGAAUUCCUGGUGUAGCGGUGAAAUGCGCAGAUAUCAGGAGGAACACCAGUGGCGAAGGCGGUCAACUGGCCUCAUAUUGACACUCAGACGCGAAGGCAUGGGUAGCGAACGGG